rnacentral:tRNA from 1 species
GGGCUUGUUGUCUAAUUGGUAGGACAGCGUUUAUUUUUAAAUGCUCUGUGCGACUUCGAUACUCGCCAAGCCCA